CCACCUGUAAUAUCCCUCGCUUUUAAAAAUUAUUAAUAAAGAUUUAUAUGUAAAUUGGAGGACCUAUAUGUAAAUAUAGAAAUUACAAGGACUAAACUGCUAAGUUGCAAAAAAAAAAAAGAAAAAAAAAGGGAAAACCGAAAAUUCGGUAUUAUCCCACCGCCUCCCACGCACUCUCUGUUUCUUCGAGAAACAGAGAGGAGCGGUGGGGCAUGAGGAGUGAAGAAAAGAAGAAGAAGAGGGAAAAGAAGAGAGGAGGAAGAAGAGAGGAAGAAGAGGGAGAAGAGAAGAAGAAGAAGAAGAGGAGGUGGCUGCAGCGAGGGCUGCAGCGAGGAGCUGUGGGGCGUGGGGAGAAGAAGAGAGGAAGAAGAGGGAGAAGAGAAGAAGAAGAAGAAGAAGAAGAAGAAGAAGAAGAGAGGAGGAUAGCUGCGGCAAGGCUGCAGCGAGGAGGUGUGUAGCUUUGGGGAGGAAAAGGGUAGAGGAGAAGAAGAGAAGGAGAAGAAGAGGGAAAAGAGAGGCAGCUGCAGCAGCCAGGGCUGCAGCACCUCUGUUUCCCGCAGGUGGAAACAGAGGAGAGGAUGUGUGGGGCGUUGAGGAUGAAAAGGGAAGAAGAAGAAGAAGAAGAAGAAGAAGAAGAAGAAGAAGAAGAUAGCUGCAGCAAGGCUGCAGCGAGGAGAUGUGUGGCCUUGGGGAGGAAAAGGGAAGAGGGGAAGAGGAGAAGAAGAAGAAGAGGAAGAGAAAGAGGUGUGAUACCUCUGUUUCCUGCAGAGGAAACAGAGGAGAGGGUGUGUGUGACGCCGGGGAAGAAGGGGCUGCAGCUGCGGCGAUGGCAGCUGCAGCUGGAAGAGAAGAAGAAGAGGAAGAUGAGCAGGGGAGGAGGGAGAGGUUGCGGCCGUGGCUGCGGCCGCGACUGCAGCAGUUGCAGCGGGGAGAGAAGAAGAAGAAAGGAAGGAGAAGGAAGAGGAGAAGGGAAAGAAGUAGCUGCGGCUGCGGUUGUGGCAGCUGCAGCUAUGGCAGGGAAAGAGGAAGAGAAAAAGGAAAGGAAGAAGAGAGAAAGGGAAGGAGAGGAAGAAGAGAGGAAGAGGAGAAGGGGCUGCGGCUGCGGCGAUGGCAGCUGCAGCUGUGGCAGGGAAAGAGAAAAAGGAAAGGAAGAAGAAGAGAAAGGGAAGGAGAGGAAGAAGAGAGGAAGAGGAGAAGGGGCUGCGGCUGCGGUGAUGGCAGCUGCAGCUGUGGCUGGGAAAGAAGAGAAGGAAAGGAAGAAGAAGAGAAAGGGAAGGAGAGGAAGAAGAGAGGAAGAGGAGAAGGGGUGGCAGCUGCGGCAGUGGCAGCUGCAGUUGGAAGAGAAGUAGGAGAGGAAAUAGAGCAGGGGAGGAAGAAGAGGCUGCGAGUGUGGUGGCUGCGGCCGUGGCUGCGACUCCGGCUGCGGCUGCAAUGUUGGCUGCGGUAGCUGCGGCAGCGGUGGUGGCUGCAGUAGCUGCUUUUGGGAAAGAGAAAGAGUAGGAACGAGAGAAGGGAAGAAGGAAAUAGUGCAAUGGAAGGGGGCUGCGGUUGUGACCGCAGUUGCGGUCGUGGCUGCGAUUGUGGCAGCGGCAGCGGCGGCGGUUGUGGCAGCUGCGUUUGGGAAAGAAAAAGAAGGAAUGAGAGUAAGAGAGAGCAGGUGACUGUGCCUCGAUGUUCGACACGUGAUGUAGUUGCGAAGAAAGGAAGAAAACGGGAGCACAAAACGAAACAGAGAGAGGACACGGAGAAAAAGUAGAAGGAUUUGAGCUGGCACCUUCUUUGGAUCUUCGGAUCGAAAUCAUUGAAAGGUCAGCUUGUCACUCUUCGAGAUGUUUGAUUUGGGCUGAGGCAGUGGAUAGCUAUUCAGAAUAAUGGGCAAGUCUGGUUGGUUAUUACGAUAUUGUUGUAUAAGUAUGUCUUGUAUGUAAUGAAAUGUUGUCGAUGAACCGAAAUGGAUAUACUGUGUCAAAGUGUUAGGAGAUCUCUCUUAUUUGGAAUUUCAGAAUGUUAAGUCUAAUUUAUGGUGAUAUGAACUUGUGGUGAAUAGUUGGAGUUCUGAUUGUAUAAUUUAUUUAGCUUGUGGAUUUAUAAAUGUUGUUCAUGUU